rnacentral:lncRNA from 1 species
GUAUCGAUUGUUGAGAUCUGGCGACUUGCUUAAAUUUCAUCAGCCUCACUUCUAUGGACUCUCAGAGCUGAUUACCAACUCCUACCACUGUUAACCCUCAUCCAGGAACAAGCUUAUGUCUUUAACAUUCUGAGUGGGCUUCAGCAUCCUUGCAUAUGUUCAAUUCUUAAAAACCUGUUGAAAUAAAAGAUCAGGAGACAUAGGAGGGAUGCCAGAAGACAGCGUGGCCUCACGUGUACCAGCUCUCUGCUCUCCUUUGCCUUGGGACGUUCCAUCCCUGGAAGUUUCCCUGCCCACAUCUUUGUAGAGAGUCCAUUCUCCAAGCUUCAGUGUGUCAUCUGUUAGGACUAUGACCCACCUGGUACAUUACCUCAGGGCAUUCAUUUCAGGCUCCUUCUAAGUGGUCAAGUUUUCAAGAUUGUUUUGGCUCUAGCAAAACAAGUUGGAACAUUCACAUCAUCCAUCUUCUGUCAGCCUAACAAGCAUAGCAAGAAGAUAUAGCCCCACAACCACUUUAUGCACAUAGUUAGAAGCAUAAAAUCUCAUGGAAAGAGACCGAUUAUCCACAGAAGAUGUUGUCUUGCCAUUUCUCUCAUGUUAGAGGUAAACCUCAGGUUCUCCUCCUGCCUUUUGCUAAGUAUAUGUCUUGAUGACAAGCCUUCUGCUAAUGAGCUGUGUUUCUGGACCGAUCAUGGUAGAAGUCAAUUGAAGUGUCCCUCACUUGGGGUUUCUUAAGG